AUAUGCGGUCGUUUCUUGAAAUUAUUGUCUUAUUUCAUCGUUAUAAUGCUUUACAAUAUUCAUUGUUUGAUUUGUGUAACUUAUUCUUGAUUUAUCUUCAAUUUUAGCUUCGUUAAUUCGACGAGAACGCGUUCAUUCAACGCCGACUUUAAAGUCACACCUUGGAUGUAAAAUUCGACAAUCUCGAUAGAGUGGUCAUGAGGCGAUGAGAGCAUUCAAAGAUGCGCUGAGUGGAUGUCUAUUGUAGAACGAGGAGCUACGAGUUGUGAAAUAACCUGAAUUUCUACAAGAUUUGGAAAAGAACUAAAACCAUGCACGGUGACGUUUCGCGUUGAAAGACGUCAUCAGAGAGCAUUUAAUGUCAACAAAAUGCCGACAAAUGCUUCUGAAGGU